rnacentral:tRNA from 1 species
GUUUACUUAAUAUAUUUAGUAUAUUUGACUUCCAAUCAAAAAGUUUGUCAAUCAAAGUAAAUA